GCUUGGGUAGCUCAGUAUGGUAGAGCGCUGCAUUGGUAAUGCAGAGGUCAAGAGUUCAAAUCUCUUCUCGAGCA
rnacentral:tRNA from 2 species